rnacentral:misc_RNA from 1 species
GAAAUGCGAUAAGUAAUGUGAAUUGCAGAAUUCAGUGAAUCAUCGAAUCUUUGAACGCACAUUGCGCCCCUUGGUAUUCCGGGGGGCAUGCCUGUUCGAGCGUCAUUAUAACCCUCAAGCUUAGCUUGGUAUUGGGGCUUGCCUCCGGGCAGCUCUUAAAAUCAGUGGCAGCGCUAUCUAGCUCUAAGCGUAGUAAUUCUUCUCGCUAUAGAGUCCCGGUAGUUGCUCGCCAGAACCCCCCAAUUUUUCUAUGGUUGACCUCGGAUCAGGUAGGGAUACCCGCUGAACUUAA